AAACCGUUCAGGGGUAAACCUGUGAAACCCAAAAGAUCGAAUGAAGAGAUUCAUCGUCAGCGUGUUCAGUAUUAAUGCAGGUUACGAUGUGAUAAUAGAACCCUUGUGGUCACUAGAUUAUACUUGCUUGUAUUAAUUGUGCUGGGUAUGUCGGCGUGCACUUCUCUUCUAGUAGAACGUCGCAACCCGUUAGAUGUUUGUCUAUGGSCUGAAUGGUAGCCUUUAAUAUUUUUAUAUAUUGAAGACCUUUAGUUUCCURAUGAACUGUUUGACGGUAUACAYAUGGUAUUGAGCCGCAAUUAUUUGCGUUAGRCWUACCGCAAGUAUGGUUUUGUGCUAGYAGUGCGGAAUUAAUGCCGUCGCUGGUUCAAAGCCUACUGUUGGUUGUGUAAUGUCUUUAACUGGCUUAUUUACCGGUUAGCGAUGCUACUGCUUUGGGUACUUACAGGACCCGUCUUGAAACACGGACCAAGGAGUCUAACAUGUGCGCGAGUCAUUGGGAUAUAUUUAUAUAAUUCAAACCUAAAGGCGUAAUGAAAGUAUAGAUUGUCUUACGACAAUUGAGGGAAGAUGAGUUACGUUACGAUGUAAUUCCGCAUUCCCAGGACGUUCUGUUCUCAUUGAGAAAGGGCGUACCUAGAGCGUACACNUU
rnacentral:rRNA from 1 species